rnacentral:rRNA from 1 species
UACGGAGGGGGCUAGCGUUGUUCGGAAUUACUGGGCGUAAGCGCACGUAGGCGGCUUUGUAAGUUAGAGGUGAAAGCCCGGGGCUCAACUCCGGAAUUGCCUUUAAGACUGCAUCGCUAGAACGUCGGAGAGGUAAGUGGCAAUUCCGAGUGUAGAGGUGAAAUUCGUAGAUAUUCGCAAGAACACCAGUGGCGAAGGCGGCUCACUGGCCCGGUACUGACGCUGAGGUGCGAAAGCGUGGGGAGCAAACAGG